rfam:Triticum aestivum genome assembly, contig: Triticum_aestivum_CS42_TGACv1_scaffold_642003_T_5BL-0.283528_3B-0.233479
CUACUACUCCCUCCGUCCCAAAAUUCUUGUCUUAGAUUUGUCUAAAUACGGAUGUACUGUACAUCCGUAUUUAGACAAAUCUAAAACAAGAAUUUUGGGACGGAGGGAGUACUAC